GACGAACGCUGGCGGCGUGCCUAAUACAUGCAAGUAGAACGCUGAAGGAGGAGCUUGCUUCUCUGGAUGAGUUGCGAACGGGUGAGUAACGCGUAGGUAACCUGCCUGGUAGCGGGGGAUAACUAUUGGAAACGAUAGCUAAUACCGCAUAAUAGUAGAUGUUGCAUGACAUUUACUUAAAAGGUGCAAUUGCAUCACUACCAGAUGGACCUGCGUUGUAUUAGCUAGUUGGUGGGGUAACGGCUCACCAAGGCGACGAUACAUAGCCGACCUGAGAGGGGGGUCGGCCACACUGGGACUGAGACACGGCCCAGACUCCUACGGGAGGCAGCAGUAGGGAAUCUUCGGCAAUGGACGAAAGUCUGACCGAGCAACGCCGCGUGAGUGAAGAAGGUUUUCGGAUCGUAAAGCUCUGUUGUAAGAGAAGAACGAGUGUGAGAGUGGAAAGUUCACACUGUGACGGUAUCUUACCAGAAAGGGACGGCUAACUACGUG
rnacentral:rRNA from 1 species